rnacentral:lncRNA from 1 species
UUUGUGUUGGUUGUGUAGGAUCUCUCUCCAUUCGACACCGUCUCUGCUUUGUGGCUCUCUGUCCCUCUCGCCAUCUCUACUUCGUGACUGUCUCUCUCUCGCCAUCUCUACUUCGUGACUCUUUCUCUCUCUCUCUCUCUCUCUCUCUCUCUGGCUUCUUCACACUCUCUCCCUCUCCAAUUUUCGUAGACAUUUCUGUCUCUGUGAAGCAGAGAGACACGAACAAACCCUAAUUUUUUAAAUCUCCAAAUCGAUAUUAUUUUCUAAAUUUCAGUCGGGUCGGGUCAGUUUAAGUGGGACGGGGAGUAUCAGAUGUUUUAAUCGGGCAAUCACUAUUAUGAAAACGCGAUUUGCAUCUUCUAAUUUUGAUUUUCAAUUUGGAUUAGAGAGGGAGAUU